rnacentral:rRNA from 1 species
UGCGUAGGUGGUAAGGCAAGUCAGGUGUGAAAUCUCCGGGCUCAACCCGGAAAUGGCAUUCGAAACUACCUUGCUAGAGGGUUUGAGGGGGGACUGGAAUACUUGGUGUAGCAGUGAAAUGCGUAGAUAUCAAGUGGAACACCAGUGGCGAAGGCGAGUCCCUGGAAAACUCCUGACACUGAGGCACGAAAGCUAGGGGAAGCAAACAG